UUUGCCUUGAGUAUAAAGGUGUCAUUCCAGUGCUUGACACUGGAAUCCAGGAAUUUUGAUUGUAAAUUAGGUAUUGGUUUUAAGUUAAAAUAAACAUUUGUAAUGAGGUUAUAUGAAAAACUGGAUCCCAGUGUCAGGCUACUCGGAUAACACCCUCUUGGUAGACCCAAA
rfam:Wolbachia endosymbiont of Drosophila ananassae gdan_359, whole genome shotgun sequence.